rnacentral:tRNA from 1 species
AGAAAGUUAGUCUAACUAAGAC